rnacentral:rRNA from 1 species
UACGUAGGGUGCAAGUGUUGUCCGGAAUUAUUGGGCGUAAAGAGCUCGUAGGCGGUCUGUUGCGUCGGCUGUGAAAACCCGGGGCUCAACCCCGGGCCUGCAGCCGAUACGGGCAGACUAGAGUUCGGCAGGGGAGACUGGAAUUCCUGGUGUAGCGGUGAAAUGCGCAGAUAUCAGGAGGAACACCGGUGGCGAAGGCGGGUCUCUGGGCCGAUACUGACGCUGAGGAGCGAAAGCCAGGGGAGCAAACGGG